rnacentral:rRNA from 1 species
AUUGCUAUCGGGAUGGGACUAAGCCAUGCAAGUCUAAAUGGUACAACAUGCCUGUAUCAUUGGCGAAUCGCUCAGUAACACGUAGUUAAUCUACCCUAUAGUGGGGCAUAUCCACGGGAAACUGUGGUUAAUUCCCCAUAGGCCACGCGGACUGGAAUGUUGCGUGACUCAAAGACGUGUGAGGCUAUGAAAGCACGAUCGCUAUAGGAUGAGACUGCGGAGGAUUAUGGUCGUUGGUGGGGUAACGGCCCACCAAGCCUUUGAUCCGUACGGGCCGUGAGAGCGGGAGCCCGGAGAUGGGAACUGAGACACUGUCCCAAGCCCUACGGGGCGCAGCAGGCGCGAAACCUCCGCAAUGCACGCAAGUGUGACGGGGCCAUCCCGAGUGCCUUCGGGCUUUUCUACAGUGUAAGAAGCUGUAGGAAUAAGGGGAGGGCAAGGCUGGUGCCAGCCGCCGCGGUAAAACCAGCUCCUCAAGUGAUUCGGACUUUUACUGGGCCUAAAGCGUCCGUAGCCGGGCCUGCAAGUCUUCGGUUAAAUCCGGCAGCUUAACUGUCGGCCCGCUGGAGAUACUACAGGUCUAGGAGGCGGAAGAGGUAGAGGGUACUCCUUGGGUAGGGGUGAAAUCCGAUAAUCCAAGGGGGACCACCAGUGGCGAAGCGCUCUACUGGGACGCGCUCGACGGUGAGGGACGAAAGCCAGGGGAGCGAACCGGAUUAGAUACAUGUUUGCAUGUUUAGCAUUAUGCUAAAUACCCGGGUAGUCCUGUGCUGUAAACGAUGCGAGCUAGGUGUUGGUCCAGCCACGAGCUGGAUCAGUGCCGAAGGGAAGCCGUUAAGCUCGCCGCCUGGGGAGUACGGUCGCAAGGCUGAAACUUAAAGGAAUUGGCGGGGGAGCACCACAAGGGGUGAAGCCUGCGGUUUAAUUGGACUCAACGCCGUGAAGCUUACCAGGGGCGACGACAGAAUGAAGGUCAGGCUGACGACCUUACCAGACAAGUCGAGAGGAGGUGCAUGGCCGUCGUCAGUUCGUGCCGUGAGGUGUCCUGUUAAGUCAGGCAACGAACGAAACCCACGCCCACAGUUGCGAGCAGAUUCCUUCGGGGAUGCUGGGCACUCUGUGGGGACUGCCAGCGAUAAGUUGGAUGAAGGUGUGGGCCACGGCAGGUCAGUAUGCCCCGAAUCCCCUGGGCCACACGCGGGCUGCAAUGGCGAGUACAAUGGGUUGCUACACCGAAAGGUGACGCUAAUCCCGAAACCUCGUCGUAGUUAGGAUCGAGGGUUGCAACUCACCCUCGUGAAUAUGGAAUCCCUAGUAAUCGCGUGUCAUCAUCGCGCGGUGAAUACGUCCCUGCUCCUUGCACAC